rnacentral:lncRNA from 1 species
GGUCAAUACGAAGAAGCCCUUUACUCCGCGGUCGCUUUGGUAAGACCUAUUUAAGAAUGUAAUGGUUCAGUGAAGUGGUAUUUCAGAGAGAAGGCAAAGAAAAGGUAAAGAACCUGAAGUUCUGAGUUCUAGAGAGAGAAGAGAAAGCUGGAUAAUGAACUCAGAUUUAGAACACCCUUUUUCUAAUGUAAGGGUGUCUCAAUGUUUAGGACUUGGGUACCCCACACAAGGUCCAAUAGCCCUUGGCCCAAUUUUU